UGAUAAGCCAAAAGUCUUAACUCACCUCAAG
rnacentral:piRNA from 2 species